rnacentral:rRNA from 1 species
UACGGAGGGUGCGAGCGUUGUCCGGAAUCACUGGGCGUAAAGAGCGUGUAGGCGGCCAGGUAGGUCGGUUGUGAAAACUGGAGGCUCAACCUUCAGAGGUCGACCGAAACCAUCUGGCUAGAGUCCGGGAGAGGAGAGUGGAAUUCCUGGUGUAGCGGUGAAAUGCGCAGAUAUCAGGAGGAACACCGAUGGCGAAGGCAGGUCUCUGGGCAUUAACUGACGCUGAGGAGCGAAAGCAUGGGGAGCGAACAGG